rnacentral:rRNA from 1 species
GACGAACGCUGGCGGCGUGCUUAACACAUGCAAGUCGAACGGAGUGGCGAACGGGUGAGUAACACGUGGGUGACCUGCCCUGCACUUCGGGAUAAGCCUGGGCAACUGGGUCUAAUACCGGAUAGUGUGGGUUGGGGCCGCGGCCUAUGUGCUUGUUGGUGGGGUAAUGGCCUACCAAGGCGGCGGCGGGAAGCCGGCCUGGGAGGGUGGACGGCCACAUUGGGACUGGGGCACGGGCCAGACUCCUACGGGGGGCAGAAGUGGGAAAUAUUGCGCGAUAGGCGGAGGCAGGCUGCAGGGACGCAGCGUGGGGGAUGACGGCCUUCGGGUUGUAAACUCCUUUCACCAUCGACGCGGUAGAUGGAGAAGAAGCACCGGCUAACUACGUGCCAGCAGCCGCGGUAAUAC